rnacentral:rRNA from 1 species
UUAAAUGAAUUGACGGGGCCCGCACAAGCGGUGGAUUAUGUGGAUUAAUUCGACGCAACGCGAAGAACCUUACCAGGGCUUGACAUCCCCUGACCGCGUAUGAAAGUACGUUUUCACCCUCGGGUGACAGGGAGACAGGUGGUGCAUGGUUGUCGUCAGCUCGUGUCGUGAGAUGUUGGGUUAAGUCCCGCAACGAGCGCAACCCCUACGUUUAGUUGCUAACGCGUGAAGGCGAGCACUCUAGACGAACUGCCGUUGACAAAACGGAGGAAGGUGGGGAUGACGUCAAGUCCUCAUGGCCCUUAUGGGUAGGGCUUCACACGUCAUACAAUGGUCGGUACAGAGGGUUGCCAACCCGCGAGGGGGAGCUAAUCCCACAAAGCCGAUCGUAGUCCGGAUCGCAGUCUGCAACUCGACUGCGUGAAGUCGGAAUCGCUAGUAAUCGUGGAUCAGCAUGUCACGGUGAAUACGUUCCCGGGUCUU